UACGAAGGGGGCUAGCGUUGUUCGGAUUUACUGGGCGUAAAGCGCACGUAGGCGGAUCGUUAAGUCGGGGGUGAAAUCCUGGAGCUCAACUCCAGAACUGCCUUCGAUACUGGCGAUCUUGAGUCCGGAAGAGGUGAGUGGAACUCCUAGUGUAGAGGUGAAAUUCGUAGAUAUUGGGAAGAACACCGGUGGCGAAGGCGGCUCACUGGCUCAUUACUGACGCUCAGGCGCGAUAGCGUGGGGAUCAAACAGG
rnacentral:rRNA from 1 species